rnacentral:rRNA from 1 species
GACGAACGCUGGCGGCGUGCUUAACACAUGCAAGUCGAACGAGUGGCGAACGGGUGAGUAAUGUCUGGGAAACUGCCUGAUGGAGGGGGCUAACUACAGGAAACGGUAGCUAAUACCGCAUACCAUCAGAUGUGCCCAGAUGGGAUUAGCCAGUAGGUGGGGUAACGGCUCACCUAGGCGACGAUCCCUAGCUGGUCUGAGAGGAUGAUCAGCCACACUGGAACGGAGACACGGUCCAGACUCCUAAGGGAGGCAGCAGUGGUGAAUAUUGCAAAAUGGGCGCAAGCCUGAUGCAGCCAUGCCGCGUGUAUGAAGAAGGCCUUCGGGUUGUAAAGUACUUUCAGCGGGGAGGCGUUACCCGCAGAAGAAGCACCGGCUAACUCCGUGCCAGCAGCCGCGGUAAUUC